UAAAUACUCUCUCCGUUCGAAAUUACUUGUCUCGAAAAUGGAUGUAUCUAAAACUAAAAUACGUCUAGAUACAUCCAUUUCUGCGACAAGUAAUUUCGGACGGAUAAAGUAUUUG
rfam:Triticum aestivum genome assembly, contig: Triticum_aestivum_CS42_TGACv1_scaffold_220772_3B